GGGUCUGUAGGUUGGUCGUGCCACCGGUACGUACUGGUCUCACUGAUUCCUCCUUCCUGAAUAACCGUAAUGCCAUUAAUUUGGUGUUGCGGGGAAACAGGACUGUUACUUUGAAAAAAUUAGAGUGUUUAAAGCAAGCUAACGCCUGAAUACAUUAGCAUGGAAUAAUCAAAUAGGACGAUCGAUCCUAUUUUGUUGGUUUCUAGGAUUGACGUA
rnacentral:rRNA from 1 species